rnacentral:misc_RNA from 1 species
UGUAUUGGCCACUACUGGAGACUUAUCUGCUAACCAGACAGUAGCUGAUCCAGAUUGGCAGUGUGCAUAGCAAGAGUUUAUGAACAAUCCAUUUGAUGGUUUGCUGCCAGCUCCAAUGCUCAAAGCAUUUAAGAAUUGCAACCUGAAAUUGUGCACAGUUUUGAGUUGAGCAGCUGAGCACUUCUUUAAGUCAAGUUUGCAGCUCUUCCAGGUUCCUUUUGAAUCAACAGCACUGGGUGCCAGAACAUUCUUUAGCUGCCAGAAAUCAUAGGCUGAAUUAAUAACAAAAAGUGGAGUUUGCAUAGUCCGAGUUACAUAUUGUGGGAAGAAGCACAAUUCUGGUUUCAUUCUUGAUGUGCAAGAUGGAGGAAGACUCUUUACUGAUCCAUGUAAUCCAACUAUUCGACCGAAGAAUUUUUGGAUUUCAUACCCACCAGCAACAUCCUGUCCAUGAAUAAAAUAACCAGCAUCUGAAACACAUUUUACUUUAGCAGUUGCAGGCAGGAGAGAUUUGAAUUUGUCACAAUGCAAAAUAGCAGCCAAUCCACCAGCUGAGCAGCCGGAAAGAAUAGCAUUUUGAGCAUUUUUCAUCCCUUUCGCCAACAGAUCAUCAAUAACAGCCCACCAAAUCCUUUCUCCUCUGAAGUACAGUUUAGUUUUCGGAUCAACUCCUUCUACAUCACCAGUAAAUGAUGACCCAUCACAGUACUUAAUCUUGAUUCUAUUCCAGUUGUAAAAAUCAGGAUUAGCUGCUUGCUUUUUCCCUAGUAUACCAGAGAAACCCAUUGUCUUCUCCAUUUUCAAUGAUGAACCCUUGUAUGUGUUCUUUCUUUCCAGGCAGCUCUUUACAUCAUCACACCAUCCUCCUCCCUCCAUGUGAACUAUCCAGUUGUUAAUCCCAGAACCGUAUCCCUUAUCAAUGUGGUAAGCUGGUGGACUUCCAUCCAAGCAAACCGCUCCUCUAGCU